GACAGAGGGUGCAAACGUUGUUCGGAAUUACUGGGCGUAAAGCGAGUGUAGGCGGUCUCGUAAGUCGGGUGUGAAAGCCCUGGGCUCAACCCAGGAAGUGCACUCGAAACUGCGAGGCUAGAGUACUGGAGAGGUUGGUGGAAUUCUCGGUGUAGAGGUGAAAUUCGUAGAUAUCGAGAGGAACACCGGUGGCGAAGGCGGCCAACUGGACAGAUACUGACGCUGAUGCGCGAAAGCGUGGGUAGCAAACGGG
rnacentral:rRNA from 1 species